UCGCCCAGUCUUCUGUGUGCCCAGGAAGGAGCUUCUCAUCCCGUAUCAGCCAUGGAUUAAGGUUCCCGGGUUUCAACCUGCCACUUUUGAACUUUCGCUUGCUGAGGUGUUCCUGCGAGUAUCUCUGUAGAUCUUAUAAGAUAUUUCUUGAUUUAAGGUGUUGGCAUGCUUCCUGAUAUCUGAAUAGAGAAUGGGACAGAGAUAUCACUGCUUUGGUUCUUUUAUUAUUAGCUGCUACUUCCUGACGGAUGUCAGGUGGUGUAAUGCUGGCUAAACAGUAUAAUUUCUCCAGCAGUGUGGGGCAUAGGCAUCCUGUGAUAAUCCGGCAUGUCUCAUUAAGAGCUACUUCCACUGUUUUAACAUGGUGAGAUGUAUUCCACACUGGACAUGCGUAUUCAGCAAAAGAGUAGCAAAGUGCAAGGGCAGAUGUCUUCACUGUGUCUGGUUGUGAUCCCCAGAUUGUGCCAGUCAGCUUUUGUAUGAUGUUAUUUCUAGCACCUACCUUUUGCUUGAUAUUCAAGCAGUGCUUCUUAUAAGUCAGAGCACGGUCCAGAGUAACUCCCAGGUAUUUUGGUAUGCUGCAAUGCUCCAGUGGGAUUCCUUCUCAGGUAAUCCUCAGGGUUUGAGAUGUUUGUCUGUUCUUAAGAUGAAAAGCACAUAUCUCCAUUUUAGAUGGAUUAAGAAUCAGCUGGUUUUCCCUGUAAUAGGCAGUAAGAGCACCUAAAGCUUGGGAGAACUUCUGUUCAACCAUUUCAAAGCUUAGGUGGUGAUAGCACGAUCGUCAGCAUAGAUGAAACUCUCUGUCCCUUCUGGCAGUGGUUGAUCAUUUGUGUAAAUAUUAAACAUUGAUGGAGGAAGCAUACCUUGUGUGACUGUGGAGCAGAACAACAAACCCCUCAUAUGUAUGCUUGCCCACAAUGCCCUGCCUCAUGCAUGGAGGAGGAGUUGUUUAAAGCUACGGACAAUGCAAUUGCUGUUGCCCACUUUUGGUCUAAAACUAUUUAGCUGUUUGGGAUUCCUUUAUUUUAUCACUUUUAAACUUAUUUAUUAUGCAAUGCUUUUGACACGAAAUAAUAAAAAAGCUGGAUCCUGGGAUUUGUAGUUCAGCGAGGAAGUAGAGCUCUCUGACAGAGAUCCUAAAUAUCCUAUGAAACCAUGACUCUAGAUCCCAUGGACUGGAGUCAUGCCGGUUAAGGUGAGAUCAAACUCUUAUCAUUGUGUAGUGUGAAAGGGUCCAGAUAGAUCAAAGAUUUCCUUUGCUGUAUUCUCCAGCAAGGGAUGUGAACAUGCUAGUGUCACUUUACUUCCAGACUGGACUUAAGUUGUUGGAUUGUGUGUAUGUGAGUAAGAGAGAAAUGGAGUUGAAAAUUAUUCUGAAUAUCUGGUAGCUGACUCUGUUCAUAAUAGAAUUACAACAGGCAUUUUGAACUUAUUAAAGGCAGCUAUCCAAUGUAGAAGUAGCUGACUAAUAUGGGGUGGAGGGGGGGGGAGAGAGAGAGUCAUACGCAUAUAUGUAUUGGGUCAUUAAACCUUUCUAACCACCCCUCCAGAAUUAUUGUAUUGGGCCCCUUUUUUGCUCUGAUUAAUAUUGGACGCUAUGAAGUCUGCACAGAUUUGCCAGCUCCACCCUUCUCUGGCAUGUUAGGAUUGCUCUUGCAUUUCAGGAUUGGAAAGGAAAUGCUAAAUGAAAAAAGGAAGAAUGCUGGAGGCAAAUCAAUGCGUGUUGCCCUUUGUCCUCUCUUAUUGUCAGGUGGUAUCAAUUGGCCUUUGAAGGAAGACUAGAUUAUACUUAUGCACAUCCAGAAUUUUCAGCAUAGACCUUUGACUAUUAAAAGCAUGGCCUUUGUGCUUAAGAGCAAUAAAACUAGCAAACUUCUAUGUGGGAAAUAAAUCAUGGAGGCUUAAAAUGAUGUGCCAAGACCAAAAUAUGGAACAGCCAGAUGCUCCAAGUGGAAAUACACGGGACUCAAUUUGGCAGAAUUCUUUGAGAAUCUGAGUUGAAUUUGUUGGUUUUUAUUUUUAUGCACAGUAAAGGAAACUAGGAAUUCAAAUACAAGCCCUUCCCAGGCUGGAACUGGGAGGAAGGAAACGGUUCCAGCUGUGGCUUCUGGGAUUGAAAGGGAGAGGGAAGAGAAGCUACUUCAAACAGCAUUAGCUUUCCCUAAAGUGUUUCUCUGAAGAAAGAAGAAAUCGGAGUGUUCUCAGCAUGGCCUGGAUUUUCCACUUUGCAACUUGUCUCUGGGUAACCAUGGCUCUCUGCGUAUUUGCUGGAUCCCGGAGGCAGAUAGAUGAACGAUUUCAUGUCAGAGAUACUGCAGACGCAAAUAGUGGAGAGAAUACUGAUGUCAUAUUAGAGUUACUUUGGGGAGGGAUUGAAAUUAUGGCCAAUGAAACAAUCAAGAUUGAGGAUGAGGAGCUGGCUUCUCUGCGUCCUGCAAAACGGUUGCUUCAGAUACUUCAGCAUGAGAUUCCCAAAAACCCAGCUGGGAUUGAGGAGCACCUGGACUAUCUCUCCCAGACAGACACCCCUAUAACCCCAGAAGAAUUUGAGCAGCUCAUCUUCACCAUGGUCUACUGUGCUUACAAGGUUCGCUCCAUCCAAGGCCUGGAGAAAAAUCUUUGGAUCAAUCUUUUUUCCCAGUUGGUCACUGAAAUCAUUCAUGAGCUCUGCAAACAAUUCUGUCCUAAGGAAUCUGUGGAUUCUGUUGAGCUUCUGGCCUCCAGGCCUUGGCAGGAAAUGCCUGUCUAUAUUAGUGCACUGAAAAAGUUCUAUUGGUCUAGUCUAGCCAUGGCCCAUAGAAACCAAGGAGAUUCUCAUGUUUAAAGGGUGUUUGGGUCUUGCAGCUCUUGCUUAUGCAAAAUAACAGGCAAGAACAUUUUUUUUAGGUUCAUGAAUUCCUUCAGCAUUACCCAAGACCCUUCGUGAUUUUAUCUCCUUAUUGUAUGGUAGUGACCUCUGGGCCAUUAAAAAAAAUCUAUAUGACUAAAUCACUCAUGGUCUGAGACUCCUGUCUCUGAGGUCUUUAUAGAAAUGGUUCUCAAUCUUUGGUCUUCUAGAUAAGUUUCAUUUUCAUUUCCCAAGCCUCCAGUCAGUGUAGAUAGUGUUCAGAGGCCCUGGAAGCUAAAUCCAAAGCAUCUGGAGGACCAAAGGUUGAUUGCCAUUGGUCUAGGGUCAUACAGAUCAGAUGAUAUUUCCUCCUUCCCAUUGGAAAAUGCUGUGCUGUGGAUUGGGGUGGGAUUUCAGAUGAAAAUGGGAUUACUUGUCCCUCCUCCAUGACUGUUCUCAAAGAAUGCAGAAAGAACAUAUUUACAUGUAGUGAAAAUUACAAUGAAGCAAAUUCAUAUUAGGAAGAGGUUGUGAAAUGUAAGAAUGAUUCCCUGGUAGAACAGCUAUCUACUUAACAGGAUACUUUUAAGAAAAUGAUAGUCAGGCAUCAGAUUAAGAGUACUUGAUGCAUGCUGUCCAUCAUUUUCUGAGACUGUUCUUGCAAAAUAGUCAGCUGUUCCAACAGUAAAUAGUUCUUAUAGUUUUCGGUAUACAAUGUCCUUUCUGGAGGGGGCUAGAUUCAAUGGUUCAUAUGGAACUCCUCCCAUUGUUUACUUUCUUCUUGUAAUUGCUUCUAGACCUCCAUUGUUUUAGAUAAAAAUUGACUCUAUUAUAUUUAACAUCCAAGACAUUUGAAAGAAUAAGAAUUUCUGUUCUGCUACCUACAUUUUUAAUCACUGAAGAUCCCAUAAACGUACCAACUUCCUCAGCUGCAUCCAGGAGGUGAUAAGUGAGCCAUGGAUAUCUUUACUGAAUGUCAUAUCAAAUUCAGCUGAUUUCUGAAUGUAUUGUGUCUGUGUGGGAUUCACUGAUAUAGUCUAUAAACAACCACAUAUUUUAUUAGGUAGGACGUUGCUUAUAUUUAACCAGAAACCUAUUAAAGAUUUACAAACAUGAAAUAUGAAUGUGUGACUGUGUAGGCUUAACUAAGGAACAUUUUUAUCUGUGUUUUGCUUUUUUAACUAAAACCAUUUCUGGUUGGUUGUAUAGGAAACUGGAUAUUAUCAAGUGCUUGUACCAGAAUAUUCAUAUUGCAAUCAAGAAAGUGAAAAAUUGGUCAGUAGAAAGCAUGCCAAUCAGUAUAACAUAUAAACACUCAAACUACAGAAGAACUCAAGAGAAGUGAGUCCAUUUCAUUUGCUGCCAUUGUUAAAAUAAUACUCAAGGGAAGCAUCUAGGAAUUCUCCAAGGUGGGACAGCUGACUUCAAUAGUAGAUGCAGCUUCAAAUCCAGUUCAAAUGUAUUCCAGUCAUCUGCUUUGGAGGCAAAUAACCUCCCUGCUGAAUACUGCCUCUGCAGUCACCCAUAUACACAGUGGCUGGAAUUCUGUUGGUCAGAUAUAUUUUCUUAACUUGGACUUGUGCAUAUUUGUCUUAUUUUGGAUGCAGCUAUUCACUAGCCCCUUGCACAGCAUUCAAAACUCUCCCCUGGCAGCUGAGAAAGGGGGCAGUGCUGUUACUGCUGUGACAAGACAGAAGGAGGAAAACGAGGCAUUGAAGGUUACCAAGAAACAACCUAUCUUGGCUGCAAUUGUAGCUGAAGGGAAAGAUAAAUUAGUCCGUUUCUCCUUUCUGCUUGUAAUGAAGACUGUAAACACAUGCAGAUACACAGAGACCAUAAGGGCAGUGGUUCUCAACCUGUGAGUCCCCAGAUGUUUUGGUCUUCAACUCCCAGAAAUCCUAACAGCUGGUAAACUGGCUGGAAUUUCUGGGAGUCACACGCCAAAAUAGCUAGGGUUGUUGAGAACCACUGCCAUAAGGUUUAACUGGCAGAUCAAUCCAGUAAACUACUCUGAUGAAUCAGUGUAGGGGGAAUUUCAAUUGCUGGACAUUUAAGGCAAGAGCAAAAAUCAUGGGACCAUCAAAAGUUGGUAGACUACUAACUUCCAGAAUUCCUCACUCUUGUCUAUACUAGCUAGUGCUGCUGAGAAUGGCAGCAGUACUAACUAAUGACAUCUGAACAACCACAAAAUGUCCAUCCCUGAUUUAAAUAUAUAGUACAUGUUAGUUUUUUUUAACUCUUGGAGGACUGAUGUUUUACUGAAGUAAAUAACUGAAUACAUUAAAGACAAUAUUUUUUAAUUUUUUAAGACAAUGAAUGGUAUGCAGUAGUUCCCUCUAUUGGCUUGUAUCUCCUUCAUUGUAUAUUUGCUUGGCAAUAUGUAAAUUUAUUUAAAUUAGUCAAUACUUUGCAAAAAUGCAGACAAUAAUUCAGUCACAACAUUAACAUCUCUAAAGGAAAGCAUGCUACCUUUUAGUAGAUUCCAAAAUAAAUAAAUCACCACAUGAAACAUACCAUCCAACCUACUACUUUUUGUCUCAAGCUUUAUUGAGUUCAUCGUUCAAUCACAUUUGUCCCUUUAUCAAUAUGUCUGGUUUGCAGAAGCUGUGACCAAUUUCUGAGUGACUUGCAGAGAGAGAGAGAGAGAGAGAGAAAGAGAGAGAGAGAGACAAUA